GCUGCACGGGGAGAAAAGGAAACACGUAAGUGGGAAGAUCCUGAAAUCGCCAGGUGGCCAAACCACGGCCAGCUGGGCGGGGCACCAGGGCGACGACCCGAGCAAGGGCCAGGCCCUGAAGGACAUCGAAAAGCCACGGGAAGUUGCACGCUAUUCUGCCAGUACGGGGAAGAACUCAAUGGGCUCGUGUCAGUCGCCUGCACCUGCUGCUACCGAAUCACCACAAACUCAACGGCUUGACGCAUUCAUUAUCUGACAAUCCGGAGACCGAAAUGGGCUUCCCCUGGGCUAACGUCAAGGUGCCGACAGGCCUGGUUUCCUCCGGGAGGCUGCAGGAGAGCAUCCUCUCGCCCUUCCCAGCUUCGAGCCGCCACCCGAGUUCCUGGGCCCCCGGUGCCUCCCCCCAACCGGACGCCUGACUCAGACUCCUCUCCGGCUCUCUUCUUCCUCUCAGAAGUACCCUCGCGAUGACACGGAGCCCAUCCAGGUAACCCAAAUGCCCAGCCGUCGGACUUCAUCCUGUGACCCGACGAUCGGGAUUCUCAAGAGACACCAUUCCUUUUCUAUAGCUGGGCACUAAAGUAGAUACCUCAGUGAAGGAAGGUCAUCUCCAGUGCUCAUCUGGAAAUGCAGGAGUGACUGCCCCCUGGGCCAUCUCAGGACAGAGCUCCCACACCCUGGCAGGGAUGGCAGUGUUAGCUCUGUUUCGGGUAUAGAGCCCUCCAAGAUUCGGGGCACCCAGGUGGUUCAGACGGUUAAGCAUCCAGCUUCGGCUCAGCUUAUGAUCUCACGGUUCGUGAGUUCAAGCCCGCGUCGGGCUCUGUGCCGACAGCGCAGAGCCUGGAGCCUGCUUCGGAUUCUGUGUCUCCCUCUCUCUCUGCCCCUUCCCUGCUCGCUCGCUCUCUCUCUCUCUCUCUCUCUGUCAAAAAUAACUAUUAAAAAAAUUUUUGAAGAAAAUAAAGUUCUCCAAGAUUCUCAGCUGAAGCUGGCCUGCACCACACGAUGAGAAUGGUUUUUGUUUUACCUAUUUACAUCCUAAGUUGCCUCUAAAGGAAAAAACAAGAAUGUUCUGUAUUGUGAUAAAUACCACACUCUCACUCAAGCUCCUCCAAAUAAAUACAAGGUGAAUGUUGUGGAAUAAAUUUGUGUGUCCCCCUGAAUGCCUAGGUCGGAAUCGUAAUCCCCAAGGUGAUGGCGUUAGGAGCUGGGGCCUUUGGGGAGUAAUUGGGUCACGAGAGCAGAGUCCUUCUGAAUGGGGACUGGUGCCCUCCUACAAGAGGCCCCAGAGAGAUGACGUCUGUCUCCACCAUGUGAAGGUGGCCGUCUGCAAGCCGGAAGAGGGUCUCACCAGACACCAGACCAGCUGGCACCUCGUUCUUGGAUUUCCCGGCCUCCAGAGCUGUGAGAAAUAAAUGUGUAUUUCUCUUUAAA